GGACAGAGCUUCCUUUCUUUUUCCUCCUGCUCUCUUCUGCUUUCUGCAAACCAGAACUGAGCCUUAAAUACCAUGUUAUUGGAUAGAAGUGGACAGUCUUUCCAACCUAUGUUUCAAAGGAAGGAAAGAAAGGGGGUUGUUCAGUUUUGAAUAAAAGACCUAACUUCCCAACGUCAUUAGUGCAUUGAGACCUGGGGAAAGCUCCUCGUGGAGCACCUAAAAGCCUGGAUGAAGAUGGCAAACCCACUGUGCUAUGCAUGCCAAAUCCUGCUUUCAGUGGAGCAGCAAACAGAUUUCAUGGCCCAUAACAACAUCUACUAUAUGCACAAAUGCAAAGAUGUACAUUCCACAAGCAUGUGUAUGCCUACGCAGGAAGGAACCUUCAGUGGCCAUGGAAACCAAAAUGCCACACAAAAGCCAAAGGGUGCUUGGGAGGUAAACAAGAUAGAUGAAAGGUGAUGGUGCUUUUAAUCUCCCCAAUCAAUGCGCUUAGGUGGGUGACUUUAAUUUAAUCCAUGUCUGAUUAACCCUCUCCCUUUGUUUACACCGUUAUAGGAGUUUUUCUCCUGUAAAAUUUUUAAACAAAUGUUAAAAAAUUCCAGGAGAGGGCUGUUCGCUGCAGUGUUUUCAUCCUAUUCACCCCCCUGAUGUAAUCAUGGAUGUUCUCAUUAUCCACAUAAAUGCCUAAUCCUUCUUACUCCUGCUAAGCUUAUCCUCAGUGCUAUAUUUUUGAAUGAGAGAGUGAAAGUUCUUAUACAAAUACAAAUUCUUGUGACUUUCUUUUUUGGACACCUAGCAGGAUGAAAUAGCUGGAAACAAUGGUGCUCAGUAAGGAAACCUUUUUCAUCAAGAAGCCUUGGAGCAGUUUGGUGAAAACUGGUUUUGAUUUGGUUGAGUUAUGAGCCCUUGAAAACUGCACAUCAUACACGCUUAGAGAUUUUUAAAUAAUAGCAGUGGAUUUAAUGACAGCUGAAUGUUCGGAAGGAAGUGCCGUGCAUGUGUGCACGGCUAAUUUACCUACUUACUGAAAAAUAUACUCAGGGGUAGUGCUCCAAAUGAACCCUGCCACAUUCAGUUUGGGUUGGCUUGCAUGACUGAAAAUUUUCUCCAAUUGCUGAGCAAAAUUUUCCACAAUAAUGAGCAUUUUAUGGAUGAGAUUUCCAAAAGCCAGCCCCCAUUUAGGAGAGCAGACACCAUUCAGAAAAGAGAAGGGACAGAAUAACAAAAAAAGGCCCAGAGGA